AGAAAAUCUUUACCUCUUUUGACUGUCAGAGGUAGCUCCAGCAUGGCGACGGGUGGCGGUUGGCGAUUGGCUCCCUUCCCAGCGACUGGUUCUUCUUCUCCGGUGGGGGGUCUGGUGGCUUGGGUUAGAGUUUGGUGUGGGGUGAGGUAUUUAUAUCUGUCUCCUUUCAAUUUAGGUCAUCCAUCAAUUUGAUCUGGAUCGUCCGAUUUCGUUUAAAUAGGAAGUGAAUCUAAACCAUGUAUCGCGAUUUCAUCUGGACCAUACGAUCGCGUUUAAAGAAGGAACAAAUCCAGACCGUCCACACGCGCAGGAACAAAUUCGGACUGUCCGAUCACGGGCACGUAGAUUGCAAGCGUGACCUCCCGUGUAGCACCGCGUCAGAGUGCCUUACCACGCAGCGCACUCCAGUUCAUCGUGGCUGCUGACUGGGCGUCGUAUGUGGUAAAUUUUUUCUAAAUUCUAUUUUGACCC
rnacentral:lncRNA from 1 species